UGCGCAGGUAGGAAUGUAAGUCAGUGGUGAAAUACUGCCGCUUAACGGUAGAAUUGCCAUUGAUACUGCAUUUCCUGAGUAUGGUUGAGGUAGGCGGAAUGUGUCGUGUAGCGGUGAAAUGCAUAGAUAUGACACAGAACGCCGAUUGCGAAGGCAGCUUACUAAGCCAUUACUGACACUGAGGCACGAAAGCGUGGGGAGCGAACAGGAUUAGAUACCCUGGUAGUCC
rnacentral:rRNA from 1 species